AGAGUUUGAUCCUGGCUCAGGAUGAACGCUGGCGGCGUGCCUAAUACAUGCAAGUCGAACGAAACUUCUUUAUCACCGAGUGCUUGCACUCACCGAUAAAGAGUUGAGUGGCGAACGGGUGAGUAACACGUGGGCAACCUUCCCAAAAGAGGGGGAUAACACUUGGAAACAGGUGCUAAUACCGCAUAACCAUGGUUACCGCAUGGUAACUAUGUAAAAGGUGGCUAUGCUACCGCUUUUGGAUGGGCCCGCGGCGCAUUAGCUAGUUGGUGAGGUAAAGGCUUACCAAGGCAAUGAUGCGUAGCCGAACUGAGAGGUUGAUCGGCCACAUUGGGACUGAGACACGGCCCAAACUCCUACGGGAGGCAGCAGUAGGGAAUCUUCCACAAUGGGCGAAAGCCUGAUGGAGCAACGCCGCGUGGGUGAAGAAGGUCUUCGGAUCGUAAAACCCUGUUGUUAGAGAAGAAAGUGCGUGAGAGUAACUGUUCACGUUUCGACGGUAUCUAACCAGAAAGCCACGGCUAACUACGUGCCAGCAGCCGCGGUAAUACGUAGGUGGCAAGCGUUAUCCGGAUUUAUUGGGCGUAAAGGGAACGCAGGCGGUCUUUUAAGUCUGAUGUGAAAGCCUUCGGCUUAACCGGAGUAGUGCAUUGGAAACUGGGAGACUUGAGUGCAGAAGAGGAGAGUGGAACUCCAUGUGUAGCGGUGAAAUGCGUAGAUAUAUGGAAGAACACCAGUGGCGAAAGCGGCUCUCUGGUCUGUAACUUACGCUGAGGUUCGAAAGCGUGGGUAGCAAACAGGAUUAGAUACCCUGGUAGUCCACGCCGUAAACGAUGAUUACUAGGUGUCGCGGUGCAUAAGCACCGCGGUGCCGUCGCAAACGCAUUAAGUAAUCCGCCUGGGGAGUACGACCGCAAGGUUGAAACUCAAAGGAAUUGACGGGGGCCCGCACAAGCGGUGGAGCAUGUGGUUUAAUUCGAAGCAACGCGAAGAACCUUACCAGGUCUUGACAUCUUCUGACAAUCCUAGAGAUAGGACUUUCCCUUCGGGGACAGAAUGACAGGUGGUGCAUGGUUGUCGUCAGCUCGUGUCGUGAGAUGUUGGGUUAAGUCCCGCAACGAGCGCAACCCUUAUUGUUAGUUGCCAGCAUUAAGUUGGGCACUCUAGCAAGACUGCCGGUGACAAACCGGAGGAAGGUGGGGAUGACGUCAAAUCAUCAUGCCCCUUAUGACCUGGGCUACACACGUGCUACAAUGGACGGUACAACGAGUCGCAAGACCGCGAGGUUUAGCAAAUCUCUUAAAGCCGUUCUCAGUUCGGAGUGUAGGCUGCAACUCGCCUACAUGAAGUCGGAAUCGCUAGUAAUCGCGGAUCAGCAUGCCGCGGUGAAUACAAGGCCGGGCCUUGCACACACCGCCCGUCA
rnacentral:rRNA from 1 species